rnacentral:rRNA from 1 species
UACGGAGGGGGCUAGCGUUGUUCGGAAUUACUGGGCGUAAAGCGCACGUAGGCGGCUUUGCAAGUUAGAGGUGAAAGCCCGGGGCUCAACUCCGGAAUUGCCUUUAAAACUGCAUCGCUAGAGUUGUGGAGAGGUAAGUGGAAUUCCGAGUGUAGAGGUGAAAUUCGUAGAUAUUCGGAAGAACACCAGUGGCGAAGGCGACUUACUGGACACAUACUGACGCUGAGGUGCGAAAGCGUGAGGAGCAAACAGG